UCCAGAAUACGUGAGCAGAAACGUCAGCAGGAGAUGGAGAGGGAGAAGGAGAAGCAGAGGAAGUGUAAACGAGCUCUAACAGUGAGACAGAAAAUGCCUGGAAGAAAGCUCAUGGAAAGAAGUCGUCCUUUACCAAAGGUGGAAGUCAAGAAAGAGCCCUCUGAUGUCCAAUAUACACCAGAGGGUUGGCUGUUUCAUCACAUUUUAUCUAAAUAAAAUAACUCCCUGUUCAAAAA